rnacentral:rRNA from 1 species
CACGUAGGGUGCGAGCGUUGUCCGGAAUUAUUGGGCGUAAAGAGCUCGUAGGCGGUGUGUCGCGUCGGCCGUGAAAACCUGCAGCUUAACUGUGGGCUUGCGGUCGAUACGGGCAUCACUGGAGUUCGGCAGGGGAGACUGGAAUUCCUGGUGUAGCGGUGAAAUGCGCAGAUAUCAGGAGGAACACCGGUGGCGAAGGCGGAUCUCUGGGCCGAUACUGACGCUGAGGAGCGAAAGCGUGGGGAGCGAACAGG